GGCGCUGUGGCUUAGUUGGUUAAAGUUUCUGUCUCGUAAAGGGAGAUCCUGGGUUCAAGUCCCAGCAGUGUCU